rnacentral:rRNA from 1 species
UACGUAGGUGGCAAGCGUUGUCCGGAUUUACUGGGCGUAAAGAGCGCGCAGGCGGUCGUUCAAGUCGCGUGUGAAAGCCUCCGGCUCAACUGGGGAGGGUCACGCGAUACUGAUCGACUCGAAGGCAGGAGAGGGUAGUGGAAUUCCCGGUGUAGUGGUGAAAUGCGUAGAUAUCGGGAGGAACACCGAUUGCGAAGGCAGCUCGCUGGGACGUAACUGACGCUGAGACGCGAAAGCGUGGGGAGCAAACAGG